UGCGCCUCCAACUGAAAACAGCUAUGAGUAAUACAUUUCAUUGUUACUCGUUUUCUCGAAUUUGGAAUGGAACUUACAGAAUUUAGUUUAUGCAAUGCCAAAUCAGCUCCCCAUCCUUGUUCACCGUUCGGAUAUAUGAGUAUACUAUGUAUGUGUGACACCGAUCCAGCAUAACCAUUAUAGACAUUUAAUGCGGAUUUGGACAGGAAAAACGAAACCCUGAUUACUGAUAUAUGUAACGAAUUAUGAAAAAAACAUUUCAGUAUUGACGUCUAAGGUGGCACUGAAUUAGUACAUAAAGUAUAAUUUAAUUCAAAAAUCGGGUAAACUUGUAGUUUAUAAAUUAGAAAAAGUAUCGUUUGAAUGGUGGAAUUAUUUUAUACUAUAAACAAUUAUGAGUCGCUCUCCCAAAUGAAAUGUUUUACUUUCUAUUUUAAUCACGAGUUUUUACAUUGGGAUAUAACAACUUGAACAAUCCAGAAAUGGGGUUUGUCAUAUCAUUAAAAACGAAUAAAUCAAAAAAUCAA